CCUAUACUGCAAGUCGAGCGGACAGAUGGGAGCUUGCUCCCUGAUGUUAGCGGCGGACGGGUGAGUAACACGUGGGUAACCUGCCUGUAAGACUGGGAUAACUCCGGGAAACCGGGGCUAAUACCGGAUGGUUGUUUGAACCGCAUGGUUCAAACAUAAAAGGUGGCUUCGGCUACCACUUACAGAUGGACCCGCGGCGCAUUAGCUAGUUGGUGAGGUAACGGCUCACCAAGGCAACGAUGCGUAGCCGACCUGAGAGGGUGAUCGGCCACACUGGGACUGAGACACGGCCCAAACUCCUACGGGAGGCAGCAGUAGGGAAUCUUCCGCAAUGGACGAAAGUCUGACGGAGCAACGCCGCGUGAGUGAUGAAGGUUUUCGGAUCGUAAAGCUCUGUUGUUAGGGAAGAACAAGUACCGUUCGAAUAGGGCGGUACCUUGACGGUACCUAACCAGAAAGCCACGGCUAACUACGUGCCAGCAGCCGCGGUAAUACGUAGGUGGCAAGCGUUGUCCGGAAUUAUUGGGCGUAAAGGGCUCGCAGGCGGUUUCUUAAGUCUGAUGUGAAAGCCCCCGGCUCAACCGGGGAGGGUCAUUGGAAACUGGGGAACUUGAGUGCAGAAGAGGAGAGUGGAAUUCCACGUGUAGCGGUGAAAUGCGUAGAGAUGUGGAGGAACACCAGUGGCGAAGGCGACUCUCUGGUCUGUAACUGACGCUGAGGAGCGAAAGCGUGGGGAGCGAACAGGAUUAGAUACCCUGGUAGUCCACGCCGUAAACGAUGAGUGCUAAGUGUUAGGGGGUUUCCGCCCCUUAGUGCUGCAGCUAACGCAUUAAGCACUCCGCCUGGGGAGUACGGUCGCAAGACUGAAACUCAAAGGAAUUGACGGGGGCCCGCACAAGCGG
rnacentral:rRNA from 1 species